rnacentral:lncRNA from 1 species
AGGAGACACUAGGACCCAGAGAGUUACUGACUCCUGUGUUGGACUGCCUCCUCUGUUCCAGCACAGAGAGAGAGAGACAGAGAGAGAGAGGAAGAGAGCAGGACCCAGAAAGACAGACAUAUAGAGAGAGCGAGGAAGAGAAGUGAGUGUGGUCAUCUCAAUGGUCUCUGCUGUGGUCUCUGCUGUAACACUGAAUCUGAACGGAAUGGAGGGAUUAAACGGAGGGAUUUAAACCUUUUUGGAGGAAGAAGAAGAACGAGUGACAAAAGAAGGAGUAUUUCAGGAUCGGGAGAGCAGCAGGAUUGAAAGGACACACUAACCCCACACCUGAAAUCUCUGGCUCCUGAUUGGAUGCUGCCUCCCAAGCAAACAGGAAGUUCAGGGUUUCUACUAAAUACCCAGAGGCUCGGUUACCAUAGAGACAAAGAUAAGUGGGAGAGUGAACAGUGCUCUCUUUAUUUCUGCUUUAUGAAGGUAAUCUCAGGUUCUCUCUUCUCUCCCAUCUCUCCUUUAUGUUUCUCUUUUGUGUUUCACUGAACCACCUCCAUCCAUCACACAUUCUCCAGUCUAGUGCGUGCCUCUGUGUAUGAACGUCCUGGGCUAUUCUCCCAGAGACUAACGUUGACGCUGUAAAAACGAUGACUGAAAAAAGCUGACGCCCAAACCAAUAUUUCAUUUCAGAAUGGAUAAAAAGUUGGUUAAGGUUAAGGUUAGGGUAAGGGUUAGGUCAAGGUUAAGGGGUUUGGUUAAGGUUAGGGUUAAGGUAAGGGUUAGGGUUAGGUCAUGGUUAAGGUGUUUGGUUGGGGUUAGGGUUAAGGUAAGGGUUAGAGUUAGGUCAUGGUUAAGGUGUUUGGUUGGGGUUAAGGUUAAGGUUAGGGUAAGGGUUAGGUCAUGGUUAAGGUGUUUGGUUGGGGUUAGGGUUAAGGUAAGGGUCAGUUUUAGGUUUUGGCUAGUCGGUUUAAGCGUCAGCUAUGUCCUUAUAGUCUCUCCCGUUGACCCUGUCCCUGUAUGGUUGGUUCACUGACCAUGUCCUACUCAGCUCCUCUCCUCUAAAGUCACUGUGUGUGUGUGUGUGUGUGUGUGUGUGUGUGUGUGUGUGUGUGUGUGUGUGUGUGUGUGUGUGUGUGUGUGUGUGUGUUUACUUGCGUAUGCGUGUGAAUGAAUGACAUGAACUAAUGAAUUACAUUUUAUUUUUGAGUCAAAUCUCCAGUUGGCAACCCAUCCCUUACGGGAUUAAUUGACACAUAAACAAACAUUACAAUAGUUCACAGUGAUAAUUCAGUGAUAAUUCAAUGAUAAUUCUUCUGGUGCACACCGCAUAAAGAAUUAAAAAUAAAUCAAUACACAAUAGUAAAUAAGGUUAUUCAAACAGUAAUAAUAACCCUAGAGCAGUAAAAAAUAAUACAAAUAAAUAAAUUACAGAAAAACUAUGCUGUGAUGUCAGGAUGGUGUGUGUGUGUGUGUUUUGUGUGUCUGAAACAGUGAUACGGCUGGCGGGUCGUUAAUUGAUUUCAUGAGUAUUGUGUCCCACAGGCUCUCAAACUGCCUCUCCAUUCAAUAACGUUUCAAGGUCCCUUUCUCCCUCUCUCCCGCUCUCUUGCUUUCUCUCUCUUUUUCUCAAUCUUUCUCGCUUUCUCUCUCUGUAACUACUGGAGUUGGGCAGCAUUAUCGUUGUUACUGCAGUGCUUCCUGUUGACGUUGUGUUAACGGGGAAAGGCUUCUCGGCAGGAAACCUGUCAGGCACUGUUACAUGCGCG